UACGUAGGGUGCGAGCGUUAUUCGGAAUUACUGGGCGUAAAGCGUGCGCAGGCGGCUUCGCAAGUCAGACGUGAAAUCCCCGGGCUUAACCUGGGAACUGCAUUGGUGACUGGCAGGCUUUGAGUGUGGCAGAGGGAGGUAGAAUUCCACGUGUAGCAGUGAAAUGCGUAGAGAUGUGGAGGAAUACCGAUGGCGAAGGCAGCCUCCUGGGCCAACACUGACGCUCAUGCACGAAAGCGUGGGGAGCAAACAGG
rnacentral:rRNA from 1 species